UCUGGUUCUCGUUCUAUCAGUCACAAGAGGGGAUUCCAUGACUCCCAGCACUGGUAACGUGAAGUAUUGUACUUAGCAACAUAUGCACGGCUAAGAGGAUAUAGAACAUCUGGGCUGAAGAGAACUCAUUUAGAAGGUUUUAAUUCCCAACCUUUGAUGCCCUGAGUCCAGAGAUUAAGGAGAUACUCUGCUUUGUUGGCCUGAAAUUUAAAUACGAUUUAGGAAUCUUAGCUGCAAUUUUUCAUUCCCGUGGAGGGGGGAAGAGAUUUUAUUAACCGUCAUAUCGCAAGCUGCUAAUUUAUUCAUUCAUUUUUUUCAUGGACCAUCAUGCACUGAACAUCUUUAAUAUGCCGAGUGCUGUCAAGGGCCAUGUGGGAUACAGAUAAAAUCGGUCCCACUCUAUCCUCAGGAGGCUCAAAGUCUGGAGCAUAUGGUGACAAGAGAUAUUUCGAGUGUUAAGUAUUAAGAUCUACUGACUUCUAAUGGGCAUGGCUGGAAACUCUGCUCACUGAAACAUUGCUGCAUGUUGGGCAAUCCUACCCCAUCACUGAGCCUACGGAUUUCCUUUAUGCCUCCUUAAAACGUGGACAGCUGACCCGGAAUUACUUUCUGCUGUGGGGAAUGACUCAACAAAGACGUGUGAGCUGACUCCAUUCAGUGAAUGUGACUCUCCAAACAGCUGUAGGAAGGAAGAUUCCAGAGGGGCCCCGGCGGUGUGAUGAGUGCUUCUUGGGGACCCUGGAUUUCCUGCCCAGACCUGGAGUUCGGCCAUGUUCUUCCGGGAGUCCUGAUUUCUUUCAGUGACAGUCUGGAUGCUCCAGAGGUGCUCCUUGUUAUUAGCUCACUCCCAAAACCCUGAUCCUUGCAGAGGGCAGCAGCGUGUCCACCAGAAACCAUCUCCAGCCUCCCCGGGAUGAUGAGGAACACCCUGGACAGUAAGAUGCAGCAGAAGUCGAUGGGGAUUCUGGGAAACAUCCGCUCCCCCGAGGAAUGCAUCACAAGCUCCUUCCCUAUCCUUCCUGCAGUAUCCAUCUCGGAACGUAGGAUAUAAUUCGCAUUCCCUGAGGAUGCUAGAGCAGAAAGACAGAAGGAAUGCAGGGCUCUGAUGAUACCUUAAAUCCACCUUACCUUGGACUACCCAUCUCUAGAUUCCUUGUUAAUGGAGAAAAUCCUACCUGUUCUGGGGGGUGGGGGACACUGUCACAAGCAGCUGAAUGACCCCAGAAGAUACAUACAUGCUCUCCCAAGAGGACUUACCUGAAAGAUAAGAGGAUGAGUCCUGUCACAUUUAAGAUACUCAUCCUUUCACGGUUAACCCCCCAUGGCAGCCCUCACUUCCCUAACCAGAACUCACACACAAAACAACGUGGUAAACGGAGGAGCGCUCAGAACCAGGGCAGCAGCUGAGAUGACGUGCAAACACGACUCUCAGUGAAGGCGUCGGCGCAGAACCUCCGCCCCCAAGGACAGGGCGGGGAGCACCACGGGAAAAAUUCUAGAGCUCUCGUGCUUUCCCGCAUGAUGUGCCGGCUCAGGGUUUGUUCUUUACGAUUUAAUACGUUCGAAGUGAACAAAGACAGGCCUACCAGAAACAAGCAGUGACGUUCAGAAGAUUAGAAACAAACAACCAGGCACAGAUCCCAAUGACCGCAACGGGAAGAAGUCCGGGGAGCAGCUGAACUGAACAGCGAUAGAUUUCAAACCGGUACCAGCCCGCGACUUAGCUGUUGUCGAUUCCAAAUCCAGAAUGUGGCAUAACCUUGUAUGAUCACCUAAAAAUUAAAGAGCUCAUACAAAGAACAAAGCAUAAUGUUGACUCCUCUUCUGACUCUGAUCUACUUUUUCAA